UUGACUGAGCGGCGGACGGGUGAGUAACGCGUGGGUAACCUGCCUUACACAGGGGGAUAACAGUUAGAAAUGACUGCUAAUACCGCAUAAGACCCCGGUACCGCAUGGUACAGAGGUAAAAACUGAGGUGGUGUAAGAUGGACCCGCGUCUGAUUAGGUAGUUGGUGAGGUAACGGCUCACCAAGCCGACGAUCAGUAGCCGGCCUGAGAGGGUGGACGGCCACAUUGGGACUGAGACACGGCCCAGACUCCUACGGGAGGCAGCAG
rnacentral:rRNA from 1 species